rnacentral:rRNA from 1 species
CACCGCGGUUAUACGAGAGGCCCUAGUUGACAGACACCGGCGUAAAGGGUGGUUAAGGAGAGCAAGAAUUAAAGCCAAAGGGCCUCUUGGCCGUCAUACGCUUCUGAGUGUCCGAAGCCCAAAACGAAAGUAGCUUUAAUAUAGCCCACCUGACCCCACGAAAACUGAGAAA